rnacentral:rRNA from 1 species
GUAGGGAAUAUUGGGCAAUGGAGGCAACUCUGACCCAGCCAUGCCGCGUGCAGGAUGACGGCCCUCUGGGUUGUAAACUGCUUUUAUACGGGAAGAAAAAAUACUACGUGUAGUAUACUGACGGUACCGUAAGAAUAAGGAUCGGCUAACUCCGUGCCAGCAGCCGCGGUAAUACGGAGGAUCCAAGCGUUGUCCGGAUUUAUUGGGUUUAAAGGGUGCGUAGGCGGAUCUUUAAGUCAGUGGUGAAAGCCUGCAGCUUAACUGUAGAAUUGCCAUUGAAAAUGAAGAUCUUGAAUGUGGUUAAAGUAGGCGGAAUGUAUCAUGUAGCGGUGAAAUGCUUAGAUAUGAUACAGAACACCGAUAGCGAAGGCAGCUUGCUGAACCAUUAUUGACGCUGAGACACGAAAGCGUGGGGAGCGAACAGGAUUAGAUACCCUAGUAGUCC